UUAUUAUAUAGAAAACGUCCAGGUCCGAAAAAAGGACAGAUUGUAAGUAUAUAUGUAAUUACAAUGUUUUUUGUUUUCAUAAUUAUAAUUUUUAAUGUCCGUUAAAUUACCAUUGCUCUUUGGUAAGAAAUAAAAAAAAGUACGAUCCGCACCAAAGCACUAUGUUGGCAGAAUCAUGACGUGCGCAUUGUUCAUUUAGAAAAGAACCAAUAAAAAAAGCAGGAAAUAUAUUUCCGGAAUUUUAUUUAAUUAAAAUAUUAAACAAUAUACGGGGUGUUUUAAUAGAGCGUUUAUAGUUUUUCGCGAAAUCAAAAAUGUAAUUUUCAGGUCCUUUUUAUUGGCAUAAAUAACAAAUAUUGUACAAUUUGUCAACUCUCAAAAAAUCAAGGACACAAUCAGAUGCCUAAAAGGCAUAAAUGCUUUAAAACCUUUGAAGGUUCUUCAACGAGCAUGGAAGGCGAUAUUUUAAAAGAAGGAUUUCUCCAUAGUUUAGAGCAACAUGGAUUAAUCUACCAUAAAUUAAUAGCUGACGGCAGCAAUUCUCUGAAAAAAAUUUUAGAUGCUCAUCCAUAUAAAAAUAUCAUUGUGAAAAAAAUUAAGUGCAGAAACCUUCUACGAAAUGACGAAAUGACUCCUGGAAAAUUCGAGAUUUAGGUAAAGACGUGAAUGCUGGGCCAUUAGUUCUUCGGAAACAAAUAAGCAAAGAACAGCUAAGAUUACGAUAUGCAGUUACAAAAGCUAGAACAUAGAAAAAAUGAGGGUGUUCCGAUGUUAGAAAAAAUAAAGUUGCUAAAACAAGACAUAGACAAUUCUAUUAGCCACGUUUUUGGAGAACACAAACUUUGUGCAGAAUUGGGAUAUUUCUGUCAUGAGCAAUAUAAACCCAGUAGUAGCAUAUUAUCAGACUUAAAAAUGACAGACAUAUACGACAAAUUAUAUAGCUUUUUCAGCUAUCUUUCAAGAAAUAGCGUAAGUUUAAUACAAAAUGUUGACAAUAAUGUAUCGGAGCAAUUUAACUCAAUCAUUGCAAAAUUUAUUGGCGGAAAACGCAUUAAUUAUUGCCAACGAGGAUCAUAUCAGGCUCGCUGUUUAGCUUCUGUAAUUUCUCAUAAUACUAAAAAGCCUAUAUACACGAUUAAAAAAUUCCUUAAUCAUAAAAAAAGCCCGAUUGGCUUAGUUAAAAACAGGGAAUUAAAGAAAAAAUAUAUUAAACGGAAAAGAUUACUCCAAACCAAAGAGAAGUCUGGACUGAGGAGUUGCAAAAAGAAAAGAUUUUCUAGCUAGUAUUAAAAAAAAUGCAGAAGAAAUCAAAUUAAUUGAAGAGCUCACAAAGGAACAGAGCCAAUCUGAUUUGUGGCACUUAGAGCGAAGAAAGCGUCUUACCGCAUCAAAUUACUACGCAAUUUGCUCUAAAUUUAGUGCCAUAAGCAACGGCGAUACAAAAAAGCUCGUGGAACAACUUCUGUACCCAAAAACAAUUCAUUCUGCUAGCAUUGAGUGGGGCAAACAAAAUGAAAAACGGGAAUCAAUGUUUUAGAAACAUUAAUUGAUGAGAAGAUAUUACCAUGUGGCUUAUUUGUAAGCGAAAAUAUUUCAUUCUUGGCAGCGACUCCCGAUGGCCUUAUUGGGAAGAAGGGGAUUGCUGAAAUCAAAUGCCCCUUUAGUGCUAAAAAUCUCACCCCUGAAGAUGCGAUAAUGCAAAGAAAAAUAUCAUUUUGGAAGAAAAACGGAGAAAUUAAUAAAAACCACAAAUGGUUUUACCAAAUACAAGGCCAAUUGUUGGCAACUGGGAGAUCCUACUGCUGCUUUGCAGUUUGGAUGCCUAUGAGCAUUAAGAAGGAAAUUAUUUUAAAAAACGAUGUAU
rnacentral:lncRNA from 1 species